UUCGGUUGCGGCCUUGGCCGCUGCCGCUUCAAAUGCAACCACUCAGUCUCGAAUGUCAACAAAACUAUAAAAAGUAACAACUUUCAACAACGGAUCUCUUGGCUCUCGCAUCGAUGAAGAACGCAGCGAAAUGCGAUAAGUAAUGUGAAUUGCAGA
rnacentral:rRNA from 1 species